rnacentral:rRNA from 1 species
UACGUAGGGGGCUAGCGUUGUCCGGAAUCAUUGGGCGUAAAGCGCACGUAGGCGGAUAUUUAAGUCAGGGGUGAAAUCCCAGAGCUCAACUCUGGAACUGCCUUUGAUACUGGGUAUCUUGAGUAUGGAAGAGGUAAGUGGAAUUGCGAGUGUAGAGGUGAAAUUCGUAGAUAUUCGCAGGAACACCAGUGGCGAAGGCGGCUUACUGGUCCAUAACUGACGCUGAGGUGCGAAAGCGUGGGGAGCAAACAGG